rnacentral:rRNA from 1 species
AGAGUUUGAUCCUGGCUCAGGAUAAACGCUGGCGGCGUGCCUAACACAUGCAAGUCGAGCGGUAAGGCUUUCACAGUUUGCUUCUUCCACCCAAUCGGGUGACCUAAAGGAGCAAAGCGUGAAAGUACACGAGCGGCGGACGGCUGAGUAACGCGUGGGAACGUACCCCAGAGUGAGGGAUAAGCACCAGAAAUGGUGUCUAAUACCGCAUAAUCUCUUCGGAGCAAAGCUUUAGCGCUUUGGGAACGGCCUGCGUCUGAUUAGUUUGUUGGUGAGGUAAUGGCUCACCAAGACUACGAUCGGUAGCUGGUCUGAGAGGAUGACCAGCCAGACUGGAACUGAGACACGGUCCAGACUCCUACGGGAGGCAGCAGUGGGGAAUUUUCCACAAUGGGCGAAAGCCUGAUGGAGCAACGCCGCGUGCAGGAUUAAGGCCUUCGGGUUGUAAACUGCUUUUAUCUGUGACGAAUAUGACGGUAGCAGAAGAAUAAGGAUCGGCUAACUACGUGCCAGCAGCCGCGGUCAUACGUAGGAUCCAAGCGUUAUCCGGAUUUACUGGGCGUAAAGAGUUGCGUAGGUGGUAAUGUAAGCGAAUAGUGAAAUCGUGUGGCUCACCCAUACGGCUGUUAUUCGAACUGCAUAACUUGAGUGCGAGAGAGGUAACUGGAAUUUCUAGUGUAGGAGUGAAAUCCGUAGAUAUUAGAAGGAACACCAAUGGCGAAGGCAGGUUACUGGCUCGUUACUGACACUGAGGCACGAAAGCGUGGGUAGCAAACGGGAUUAGAUACCCCGGUAGU